UGGGGAAUUUUGGACAAUGGGCGAAAGCCUGAUCCAGCAAUGCCGCGUGUGUGAAGAAGGCCUUCGGGUUGUAAAGCACUUUUGUCCGGAAAGAAAUCCUUGGCUCUAAUACAGUCGGGGGAUGACGGUACCGGAAGAAUAAGACCGGCUAACUACGUGCCAGCAGCCGCGGUAAUACGUAGGGUGCAAGCGUUAAUCGGAAUUACUGGGCGUAAAGCGUGCGCAGGCGGUUUGCUAAGACCGAUGUGAAAUCCCCGGGCUCAACCUGGGAACUGCAUUGGUGACUGGCAGGCUAGAGUAUGGCAGAGGGGGGUAGAAUUCCACGCGUAGCAGUGAAAUGCGUAGAGAUGUGGAGGAAUACCGAUGGCGAAGGCAGCCCCCUGGGCCAAAUACUGACGCUCAUGCACGAAAGCGUGGGGAGCAAAACAGGAUUAGAUACCCUGGUAGUCCACGCCCUAAAACGAUGUCAACUAGUUGUUGGGGGAUUCAUUUUCCUUAGUAACGUAGCUAACGCGUGAAGUUGACCGCCUGGGGAGUACGUCGCAAGAUUAAAACUCAAAUGAAUUGNCGGGG
rnacentral:rRNA from 1 species